GGUAGCGUGGCCGAGCGGUCUAAGGCGUUGGUUUAAGGCACCAGUCUCGAAACAGGCGUGUGUUCGAAUCCCACGGCUGCCA
rnacentral:tRNA from 1 species